rnacentral:misc_RNA from 1 species
AAGUCGUAACAAGGUUUCCGUAGGUGAACCUGCGGAAGGAUCAUUAUAGUAAGGGCCGAAAGGCCUAUUACGAGAUGCAACCCUUGUCUUUUUGUGCACCUUUGUUUCCUCGGCAGCUUAGCCUGCCAAUGAGGACCCUAAAAAAAACCUUUUGCAAUCCUAGUAUAACAUUCUGAAAACAAACAAUAUUAAAACUUUCAACAAUGGAUCUCUUGGCUCUG